CCGGCAAUCAAACCACCGUCUCCGUCAUACAAGCCACCCUCAUUUCCUACUACUCCGAUUAAACCACCCACCAUUACACCACCAGUCAAACCCCCAACCACUCCGGUUCCACCCACAUCACCACCUACGUACAAACCUCCAACUGUUAAACCACCUACAACAACACCGGUCAAACCACCUCCGGUUCAACCACCUUACAAACCCCCAACGUCACCGGUUAAGCCACCCACGAUGCCACCAGUCAAACCACCACCUACGUACAAACCCCCAACGCCACCUGUUAAGCCACCCACGAUACCACCAGUCAAACCACCUACAGCGCCGGUUAAACCAACCCCAAUACCUCCAUAUAAGGCACCACCUGUCAAACCGACCCCACCACCGCCAGUCACAACACCACCGCCAGCUAAACCACCCGUCAACCCAAUCCCAUCACCUCCGGUCAAUGCACCACCUGUUAAGCCACCGUACAAACCUCCGACACCGCCUCCCGUCAGACCUCGGAUAAGUAAGUUAAGCUAAUAAUAUUUUUUUUGUAAUAUUGUAA
rnacentral:lncRNA from 1 species